rnacentral:rRNA from 1 species
CCCGAAACCAGGUGAUCUACCCUUGGUCAGGUUGAAGUUCAGGUAACACUGAAUGGAGGACCGAACCGACUUACGUUGAAAAGUGAGCGGAUGAACUGAGGGUAGCGGAGAAAUUCCAAUCGAACCUGGAGAUAGCUGGUUCUCUCCGAAAUAGCUUUAGGGCUAGCCUCAAGUGAUGAUUAUUGGAGGUAGAGCACUGUUUGGACGAGGGGCCCCUCUCGGGUUACCGAAUUCAGACAAACUCCGAAUGCCAAUUAAUUUAACUUGGGAGUCAGAACAUGGGUGAUAAGGUCCGUGUUCGAAAGGGAAACAGCCCAGACCACCAGCUAAGGUCCCAAAAUAUAUGUUAAGUGGAAAAGGAUGUGGCGUUGCCCAGACAACUAGGAUGUUGGCUUAGAAGCAGCCAUCAUUUAAAGAGUGCGUAAUAGCUCACUAGUCGAGUGACACUGCGCCGAAAAUGUACCGGGGCUAAACAUAUUACCGAAGCUGUGGAUUGUCCUUUGGACAAUGGUAGGAGAGCGUUCUAAGGGCGUUGAAGCAUGAUCGUAAGGACAUGUGGAGCGCUUAGAAGUGAGAAUGCCGGUGUGAGUAGCGAAAGACGGGUGAGAAUCCCGUCCACCGAUUGACUAAGGUUUCCAGAGGAAGGCUCGUCCGCUCUGGGUUAGUCGGGUCCUAAGCUGAGGCCGACAGGCGUAGGCGAUGGAUAACAGGUUGAUAUUCCUGUACCACCUAUAAUCGUUUUAAUCGAUGGGGGGACGCAGUAGGAUAGGCGAAGCGUGCGAUUGGAUUGCACGUCUAAGCAGUAAGGCUGAGUAUUAGGCAAAUCCGGUACUCGUUAAGGCUGAGCUGUGAUGGGGAGAAGACAUUGAGUCUUCGAGUCGUUGAUUUCACACUGCCGAGAAAAGCCUCUAGAUAGAAAAUAGGUGCCCGUACCGCAAACCGACACAGGUAGUCAAGAUGAGAAUUCUAAGGUGAGCGAGCGAACUCUCGUUAAGGAACUCGGCAAAAUGACCCCGUAACUUCGGGAGAAGGGGUGCUCUUUAGGGUUAACGCCCAGAAGAGCCGCAGUGAAUAGGCCCAAGCGACUGUUUAUCAAAAACACAGGUCUCUGCUAAACCGUAAGGUGAUGUAUAGGGGCUGACGCCUGCCCGGUGCUGGAAGGUUAAGAGGAGUGGUUAGCUUCUGCGAAGCUACGAAUCGAAGCCCCAGUAAACGGCGGCCGUAACUAUAACGGUCCUAAGGUAGCGAAAUUCCUUGUCGGGUAAGUUCCGACCCGCACGAAAGGCGUAACGAUUUGGGCACUGUCUCAACGAGAGACUCGGUGAAAUCAUAGUACCUGUGAAGAUGCAGGUUACCCGCGACAGGACGGAAAGACCCCGUGGAGCUUUACUGUAGCCUGAUAUUGAAAUUCGGCACAGCUUGUACAGGAUAGGUAGGAGCCUUUGAAACGUGAGCGCUAGCUUACGUGGAGGCGCUGGUGGGAUACUACCCUAGCUGUGUUGGCUUUCUAACCCGCACCACUUAUCGUGGUGGGAGACAGUGUCAGGCGGGCAGUUUGACUGGGGCGGUCGCCUCCUAAAAGGUAACGGAGGCGCUCAAAGGUUCCCUCAGAAUGGUUGGAAAUCAUUCAUAGAGUGUAAAGGCAUAAGGGAGCUUGACUGCGAGACCUACAAGUCGAGCAGGGUCGAAAGACGGACUUAGUGAUCCGGUGGUUCCGCAUGGAAGGGCCAUCGCUCAACGGAUAAAAGCUACCCCGGGGAUAACAGGCUUAUCUCCCCCAAGAGUUCACAUCGACGGGGAGGUUUGGCACCUCGAUGUCGGCUCAUCGCAUCCUGGGGCUGUAGUCGGUCCCAAGGGUUGGGCUGUUCGCCCAUUAAAGCGGUACGCGAGCUGGGUUCAGAACGUCGUGAGACAGUUCGGUCCCUAUCCGUCGUGGGCGUAGGAAAUUUGAGAGGAGCUGUCCUUAGUACGAGAGGACCGGGAUGGACAUACCUCUGGUGUACCAGUUGUCGUGCCAACGGCAUAGCUGGGUAGCUAUGUGUGGACGGGAUAAGUGCUGAAAGCAUCUAAGCAUGAAGCCCCCCUCAAGAUGAGAUUUCCCAACUUCGGUUAUAAGAUCCCUCAAAGAUGAUGAGGUUAAUAGGUUCGAGGUGGAAGCAUGGUGACAUGUGGAGCUGACGAAUACUAAUCGAUCGAAGACU